rnacentral:rRNA from 1 species
GAUGAACGCUGGCGGCGUGCCUAAUACAUGCAAGUCGAGCGAACAGACGAGGAGCUUGCUCCUCUGACGUUAGCGGCGGACGGGUGAGUAACACGUGGAUAACCUACCUAUAAGACUGGGAUAACUUCGGGAAACCGGAGCUAAUACCGGAUAAUAUAUUGAACAGCAUGGUUCAAUAGUGAAAGACGGUUUUGCUGUCACUUAUAGAUGGAUCCGCGCCGCAUUAGCUAGUUGGUAAGGUAACGGCUUACCAAGGCGACGAUGCGUAGCCGACCUGAGAGGGUGAUCGGCCACACUGGAACUGAGACACGGUCCAGACUCCUACGGGAGGCAGCAGUAGGGAAUCUUCCGCAAAGGGCGAAAGCCUGACGGAGCAACGCCGCGUGAGUGAUGAAGGUCUUCGGAUCGUAAAACUCUGUUAUUAGGGAAGAACAAAUGUGUAAGUAACUAUGCACGUCUUGACGGUACCUAAGCAGAAAGCCACGGCUAACUACGUG